rnacentral:rRNA from 1 species
GACGAACGCUGGCGGCGUGCCUAAUACAUGCAAGUAGAACGCUGAAGAGAGGAGCUUGCUCUUCUUGGGUUAGUUGCGGACGGGUGAGUAACGCGUAGGUAACCUGCCUUUUAGCGGGGGAUAACUAUUGGAAACGAUAGCUAAUACCGCAUAACAAUUGAUGACACAUGUCAUUUAUUUGAAAGGGGCAAUUGCUCCACUACAAGAUGGACCUGCGUUGUCUUAGCUAGUAGGUGAGGUAAUGGCUAACCUAGGCGACGAUACAUAGCCGACCCGAGAAGGUGAUCGGCCCACCCGGGACCGAGAACCGGCACAGGACCCUUAGGGAGGCCGCAGGAGGGGAAUUUCGGACAUGGGGGCAACGCUGGACGAGGCAAGGCGCGGGAGGGAAGAAGGGUUUCGGAUCGUUAAGCUUCGUUGUAAGUGAAGAAAGGGUGUGAGAGUGGAAAGUUCACACUGUGACGAUAGCUAAUCAGAAAGGGACGGCUAACUACGUG